rnacentral:rRNA from 1 species
UCGAACGAAGUAGCAAUACUUAGUGGCAGACGGGUGAGUAACAUGUAGGUAUCUGCCCUUUGGCCUGGAAUAACACGAGGAAACUUGUGCUAAUACCGGAUAAGUCUUUACGGAGAAAGCUUUAUGCACCAUUGGAUGAGCCUGCACUUGAUUAGUUUGUUGGUGGGGUAAUGGCCUACCAAGACUGUGAUCAAUAGCUGAUUUGAGAGGAUGAUCAGCCACAUUGGGACUGAGACACGGCCCAAACUCCUACGGGAGGCAGCAGUGGGGAAUCUUGCACAAUGGAGGAAACUCUGAUGCAGCGAUGCCGCGUGAGUGAAGAAGGCCCUUGGGUUGUAAAGCUCUUUCGUCGGGGAAGAAAAUGACUGUACCCGAAUAAGAAGGUCCGGCUAACUUCGUGCCAGCAGCCGCGGUAAUACGAAGGGACCUAGCGUAGUUCGGAAUUACUGGGCUUAAAGAGUUCGUAGGUGGUUGAAAAAGUUAGUGGUGAAAUCCCAGAGCUUAACUCUGGAACUGCCAUUAAAACUUUUCAGCUAGAGUAUGAUAGAGGAAAGCAGAAUUUCUAGUGUAGAGGUGAAAUUCGUAGAUAUUAGAAAGAAUACCAAUUGCGAAGGCAGCUUUCUGGAUCAUUACUGACACUGAGGAACGAAAGCAUGGGUAGCGAAGAGGAUUAGAUACCCUCGUAGUCCAUGCCGUAAACGAUGUGUGUUAGACGUUGGAAAUUUAUUUUCAGUGUCGCAGGGAAACCGAUAAACACACCGCCUGGGGAGUACGACCGCAAGGUUAAAACUCAAAUGAAUUGACGGGGACCCGCACAAGUAGUGGAGCAUGUGGUUUAAUUCGAAGAU